rnacentral:rRNA from 1 species
UGGUGGAGUGAUUUGUCUGGUUAAUUCCGAUAACGGACGAGACUCUGUCCUGCUAACUAGGUUGUGUUUUCUCGGGUUGGUGUUUCUGGUGUUCCUUCUCGGGGCGCCGGCCCAAUCCACUUGUGAACACAACACUCUUCUUAGAGGGACUGGCGGCUGUUAGCCGCACGAGAUAGAGCAAUAACA